rnacentral:rRNA from 1 species
AAACAAAUAAACAAGAGCAUCGGGUGGAUGCCUUGGCGUCGGAAGGCGAAGAAAGACGCGGUAAGCUGCGAUAAGCCUCGGUGAGGAGCUAAACAUCCUUUGACCCGGGGAUUUCUGAAUGGGGAAACCCGGCAGGAGUCAUGUCCUGUCAUCCGCAACUGAAUCCAUAGGUUGUGUGAAGCCAACUCAGGGAAGUGAAACAUCUCAGUACCUGAAGGAAAGGAAAUCAAAUGAGACUCCCUCAGUAGCGGCGAGCGAAGGGGGAAUAGCCCAAACCGUGCGGAUUCGUCCGCGCGGGGUUGUAGGGCCGGCUGUAUUGAUGUGCGAGUAGGCAGGGGAAGGAAGCUGGAAAGCUUUGCCAAAGCGGGUGACAGCCCCGUACCCGAACCUGAAAGCGCCGUGGCCGGUACCUGAGUACCGCGAGGCACGUGAAACCUCGUGGGAAUCCGGGAGGACCAUCUUCCAAGGCUAAGUACUAACCGACGACCGAUAGCGUACCAGUACCGUGAGGGAAAGGUGAAAAGAACCCCUGUCAGGGGAGUGAAAGAGAAUCUGAAACCUGAUGCUUACAAGCUGUGGGAGCCGAAUUUAUUUGGUGACCACGUGCCUUUUGCAUAAUGAGUCAGCGAGUUGAUCUGUACUGCGAGGUUAAGCGUAAGUGGAGCCGUAGCGAAAGCGAGUCUGAACAGGGCGUUCAGUAGUGCGGAUCAGACCCGAAACCGGGUGAUCUAUCCAUGAGCAGGUUGAAGCAAGGGUAAAGCCUUGUGGAGGACCGAACCAUUAACGGCUGAAAACGUUUUGGAUGACUUGUGGAUAGGGGUGAAAGGCCAAUCAAACCCGGUGAUAGCUGGUUCUCUCCGAAAUAUAUUGAGGUAUAGCCUCAGGAAUUGUCUGAUGGAGGUAAAGCACUGAAAGAGCUAGGGGACCUACCAGUUUACCAAACUCUAUCAAACUCUGAAUGCCAUUAAGAUGUAUCCUGGGAGACAGACGGCGGGUGCGAAGAUUCGUCGUCGAAAGGGUAAGAGCCCAGACCAACAGCUAAGGUCUCCAAAUUCAUACUCAGUGGUGAAGGUGGUAGGGUUACUUAGACAGCCAGGAAGUUGGCUUAGAAGCAGCCAUCUUUUAAAGAAAGCGUAAUAGCUCACUGGUCUAGUGACUCCGCGCCGAAAAUGUAACGGGGCUAAGUAUGAUACCGAAGCUUUGGAUGCCGCUUUAGCGGCAUGGUAGGAGAGCGUUCUCUAUGGGCAGAAGCCGUGGCGUAAGCUUAUGGUGGACUGUAGAGAAGUGAUUAUGCUGACAUAAGUAACGAUAAAACGGGUGAAAAACCCGUUCGCCGUAAACCCAAGGUUUCCUGGGUAAAGUUAAUCUUCCCAGGGUUAGUCGGU